rnacentral:rRNA from 1 species
AGUGAACGCUGGCGGUAGGCCUAACACAUGCAAGUCGAACGGCAGCACAGUAAGAGCUUGCUCUUACGGGUGGCGAGUGGCGGACGGGUGAGGAAUACAUCGGAAUCUACUUUUUCGUGGGGGAUAACGUAGGGAAACUUACGCUAAUACCGCAUACGACCUACGGGUGAAAGCAGGAGAUCUUCGGACCUUUCGCGAUUGAAUGAGCUGAUGUCGGAUUAGCUAGUUGGCGGGGUAAAGGCCCACCAAGGCGACGAUCCGUAGCUGGUCUGAGAGGAUGAUCAGCCACACUGGAACUGAGACACGGUCCAGACUCCUACGGGAGGCAGCAGUGGGGAAUAUUGGACAAUGGGCGCAAGCCUGAUCCAGCCAUACCGCGUGGGUGAAGAAGGCCUUCGGGUUGUAAAGCCCUUUUGUUGGGAAAGAAAAGCAGCAGGUUAAUACCCCGCUGUUCUGACGGUACCCAAAGAAUAAGCACCGGCUAACUUCGUG